rnacentral:rRNA from 1 species
UACGUAGGGUGCGAGCGUUGUCCGGAAUUACUGGGCGUAAAGAGCUCGUAGGUGGUUUGUCGCGUUGUUCGUGAAAACUCACAACUCAAUUGUGGGCGUGCGGGCGAUACGGCGGGACUGGAGGCCAGUAGGGGGACGCGGAAUUCCGGGUGUAGUGGUGAAAUGCGUAGAUAUCGGGAGGAACACCAGUGGCGAAGGCGACUACCUGGCCUGUUCUUGACGCUGAGGCGCGAAAGCUAGGGGAGCAAACGGG